rnacentral:tRNA from 1 species
GCGCCAUUAGCUCAAUGGUAGAGCAAAUGACUCUUAAUCAUUAGGCUGAAGGUUCGAGCCCUUCAUGGCGCACCA